rnacentral:lncRNA from 1 species
AAAAUGAUCCCAAUGAUGAUGUCUGAUAACUCAUUAUAGAUACCAGAAUUAAAAUUUUAUAGUAACAUUAUCUGAACUGGUGAAAAAACAAACUAUGUGUAGAAAGUCUGUCAAUUUUAUAUACAUGUUUGAAGCUUUAUUAGUCUAAACCUGUAUGCAUCUUAAAUGAUUGCCUAAGAUAUGUAUGGUGCCAUACUUUCUUUUUUGUGCAUACAAAUAUCAUCUACUAUUGGUAAAAAAUUCAAAAUGUUUGAAUUUAUCAUUGAGAUUUUUGGAAGAAGGGACAAACAAGUGAAAUUAAUUAUUGCCAUAUUAGGAAAAUCUCCAAAUAUGCAUUAAAUAUAAGAUUGCAAGUCUUGCCUUGUGAUAACCACCCAGUUGCAUAAUUCACAUUUUUAAACCAAUGCAAUAAUUUAUGAAUUUACAGUAUUUUUUUUCAAUUUGCAAAAAGCUUGGUUCAGAUUUUCUUUAAAAUUGCAAACUAAAUAAAGGAUGUUUCUACCAUAUUUUAAAUGAGUGGGUGCUACUUCUGCAUCUGUAAAUAAAAAGACCCUAUCAUUCCCUGUACUCCGUUACUGUGUGUGUGUGUGUAUUGUUUAUUGUUAAAAUACAUAAAAAUAAGGAAAAAGGGGGGAAGGAAAUUAUGUUGGACAAGGUUUGUGAUAUUUUUUAUUAUUGUAAUGAAUUAAUGAAAUGAAUAGUGUAUAUAAUUUAUAAUUAUUGUUGUAUUGUUAUAUAUUUUAAUUAAAUUUAUAUAAAAAAAGAUAUAAUUAGAAAAUUGGUAAUGAAUUAAAAUAAAAUGAAACAGACAUAUGUAUGUGUUAUUUCAAUUCUAGUAUUGAGACUUUAUAUCAAGCCAUAUUUAUU